UACGUAGGGUGCAAGCGUUGUCCGGAAUUAUUGGGCGUAAAGAGCUCGUAGGCGGUUUGUCGCGUCUGCUGUGAAAACUCGGGCUUAACCCCGGGCCUGCAGUGGGUACGGGCAGACUAGAGUGCGGUAGGGGAGACUGGAAUUCCUGGUGUAGCGGUGAAAUGCGCAGAUAUCAGGAGGAACACCGAUGGCGAAGGCAGGUCUCUGGGCCAUAACUGACGCUGAGGAGCGAAAGCGUGGGGAGCGAACAGG
rnacentral:rRNA from 1 species